UACGUAGGGUGCGAGCGUUGUCCGGAAUUAUUGGGCGUAAAGGGCUCGUAGGCGGUCUGUCGCGUCGGGAGUGAAAACUCAGGGCUUAACCCUGAGCCUGCUUCCGAUACGGGCAGACUAGAGGUAUGCAGGGGAGAACGGAAUUCCUGGUGUAGCGGUGGAAUGCGCAGAUAUCAGGAGGAACACCGGUGGCGAAGGCGCCACUCUGGGCCGGUACUGACGCUGAGGAGCGAAAGCGUGGGGAGCGAACAGG
rnacentral:rRNA from 1 species